rnacentral:misc_RNA from 1 species
GAUGAAGAACGCAGUGAAAUGCGAUAAGUAAUGUGAAUUGCAGAAUUCAGUGAACCAUCGAAUCUUUGAACGCACAUUGCGCCCGGCAGUAAUCUGCCGGGCAUGCCUGUCCGAGCGUCAUUUCUGCCCUCGAGCGAGUCCAGCAUCUAGGUGCUGGGCCCGCCCGGCGUUGGGGCACUACGGGAAGCCCUGUGCUGUCCCCCGUGGCCCCGAAAUGAAGUGGCGGUCCUGCCGCGGCGCCCCCUGCGUAGUAUAACAGCUCGCUUCGGGACCCGGUGGAGGCCUGCCGUCAAACCUUACUCUCUAAGUUUGACCUCGGAUCAGGUAGGGUUACCCGCUGAACUUAAGCAUAUCAAUAAGCGGAGGA